CAGUAAUAUCACAAAUAAACCGUAGAGUUGAAGUACAAGGACAACAAUUGAAUUGCAAGUGAUUUGACCAUAAUUGUUCUUAAAGCAAUUGUAAUUAAGUUUACUAAUUCACGCACCAGCAGAGCAAUCCGCAUAUAUUAGACGCAAGGACAAACCUUACACCUGCUUUCAGGACCAACGAAAAGGCCAUGAAUCAGUAGUAGGAGAUAGAGAUAAUGCAUUAACGAAAUUUGAUUUUUAAAGUCAUAUAUGACGAAAGAUGAGUAUUUGGCAAUAAUCGAAACA